UUAUGGCUCAGGAUGAACGCUGGCGGCGUGCCUAACACAUUCAAGUCGAACGAACCGUAGAAAUACGGUGAGUGGCGGACGGGUGAGUAACGCGUAAGCAAUCUGCCUUUUGUGUGUGGAAUAACAACCGGAAACAGUUGCUAAUACCGCAUAACGCACAGAGAUCGCAUGUUUUUUGUGCCAAAGAUUUAUCGCACGAAGAUGAGCUUGCGUCCGAUUAGAUAGUUGGCGGGGUAACGGCCCACCAAGUCGACGAUCGGUAGCCGGACUGAGAGGUUGAACGGCCACAUUGGAACUGAGAUACGGUCCAGACUCCUACGGGAGGCAGCAGUGGGGAAUAUUGGGCAAUGGACGAAAGUCUGACCCAGCGACGCCGCGUGAGGGAAGAAGGUCUUCGGAUUGUAAACCUUAGUCAACAGGGACGAAGCAAGUGACGGUACCUGUGGAGGAAGCCACGGCUAACUACGUGCCAGCCGCCGC
rnacentral:rRNA from 1 species